rnacentral:piRNA from 1 species
AGUCAAGCUACCAUAGAAGACAAGUUUGGAC